rnacentral:rRNA from 1 species
AACGAACGCUGGCGGCAUGCCUAACACAUGCAAGUCGAACGAGACCUUCGGGUCUAUUGGCGCACGGGUUCGUAACGCGUGGGAACCUGCCCUUAGGGUCGGAAUAACUCCCCGAAAGGGGUGCUAAUACCGGAUAAUGUCUUCGGACCAAAGAUUUAUCGCCUUUGGAUGGGCCCGCGUUGGAUUAGCUAGUUGGUAGGGUAAAAGCCUACCAAGGCGACGAUCCAUAGCUGGUCUGAGAGGAUGAUCAGCCACACUGGGACUGAGACACGGCCCAGACUCCUACGCGAGGCAGCAGUGGGGAAUAUUGGAACAUGGGCGAAAGGCUGAUCCAGCAAUGCCGCGUGAGUGAUGAAGGCCUUAGGGUUGUAAAGCUCUUUUAACCGGGAUGAUAAUGACAGUACCGGGAGAAUAAGCUCCGGCUAACUCCGUG